AUUUUCUUUUCUAGAAACAAAAAUCGUUACCCCCCGCUCGCUCGUUUACGUCUCUCUAUUGCAGUUGCGGUUUCGGGGGAGCCAAGCAAGCCAUAUGCGAGCGCUGCCUCGCGUUGGCCAGCCCGUGCGCUGGAUGAUGGCCUCGCGCGCGCGGCCGCGGCGGGCGAUGGGGUCGGCGGCGGCGGGCGGCGGGAGGGAUCCCGCCGAGAACCCGAAGGUGGGGAGGCUGCGGGAGCUCUUCGUCGGCGACGCGGCAGAUGGGUGGGAGAAGUCUUGGGAGUUUGGUGUGACCCCGUGGGAUUUGGGAAAGCCAACACCUGUCAUCGAACAUCUUGUUAGAUCAGGAACACUGCCGAAUGGAAGAGCUUUGGUUCCUGGAUGCGGAAUGGGAUACGAUGUGGUGGCUCUGGCAUGCCCUGAACGAUUUGUUAUUGGCUUGGAUAUUUCUGAUAUGGCUGUUAAGAAGGCUAAGCAGUGGUCAUCCUCUUUGCCCAAUGCAGAUUAUUUUACUUUUCUGGCAGAAGAUUUCUUCAACUGGGUACCAAGUGAACAAUUCGACCUUAUAUUUGAUUACACGUUCUUCUGUGCGCUUGACCCAAGCUUGAGGGUGGCUUGGGCAGAGACAGUUAACCGGCUGCUAAAACCUGAUGGAGAGCUUCUCACCUUGAUUUAUCUGAUCAGUGAUCAAGAGGGAGGACCACCAUACAAUAAUACAGUUGCUGAGUAAGAAUAUCUAUCAGAAGGUACUGGAACCGUUGGGAUUCAGGGCUGUUCUUAUGGAAGAUAAUGAACUGGCCAUUAAACCACGGAAGGGCUGCGAGAAACUUGGGAGAUGGAAGAGAUUUACCCACCAAUCAUCUCUGUGAGAAAGCAGAAGCAUUUUCCUAAAUAAACAAAGAAAAAAGAAUUCAUGAAGAGAGGAUCAACUUCUUACAUUUAUUAGACCGUGUGUAUAAUUGUUUUAGACUUGCUUUUGGCGUAUGUACGGAGGUUCAGUCCUGAAACAUGAGUAGAGCGUGCUGUCCAAGGAGCAUGAGUAGAGUGUUUUUUAGACUCAAGAUGUUCCAGAAUUACAGACCUUGGCUUCGAAAUAGAAUUGCAGUUCUUACAGCAUCAAAAACGAAAAGAAAAAGAAAUUGGAAAGGAUAUAUCAGCUGAACACAGAGCUUUUACCGCUUUA